rnacentral:rRNA from 1 species
AUUGAACGCUGGCGGAAUGCUUUACACAUGCAAGUCGAACGGCAGCACGGACUUCGGUCUGGUGGCGAGUGGCGAACGGGUGAGUAAUGUAUCGGAACGUGCCCAGUCGUGGGGGAUAACGUAGUGAAAAUUACGCUAAUACCGCAUACGAUCUAUGGAUGAAAGCGGGGGAUCGCAAGACCUCGCGCGAUUGGAGCGGCCGAUAUCAGAUUAGGUAGUUGGUGGGGUAAAGGCCCACCAAGCCAACGAUCUGUAGCUGGUCUGAGAGGACGAGCAGCCACGCUGGAACUGAGACACGGUCCAGACUACUACGGGAGGCAGCAGUGGGGAAUUUUGGACAAUGGGCGAAAGCCUGAUCCAGCCAUUCCGCGUGCAGGAUGAAGGCCCUCGGGUUGUAAACUGCUUUUGUACAGAACGAAAAGGUUUCUACUAAUACUAGGAGCUCAUGACGGUACUGUAAGAAUAAGCACCGGCUAACUACGUGCCAGCCGCCGCCGUAA